CUUAUUUUGGUGCACUGCAGGCGAAGGCAGUAGGGGUUAGAGGUGGGCUGAGGUUGCUCGUCGUCGGGUUGGGGGGUAUAUGCUUGUCGGCGUCUGAGAUUUGCACACGCCUUGCCUGAGUUUUGCUCCGCCCAUAGAUGUGGUUCGUGUCCCCAGUUUAUAUCUGCUGAUUUUUGGCUGAUUUGAUACGGGAUUUUUGGUAGAUGAUGACAGGAAGGGAAGGCUUCAUCCUCUUUCGUGGAUUUUGGUUUGCGCUGUGGUGAGGUUGGGCUAGUGAAAGUGUCAUUCUGUUAUAUAUAUUUAUGUUCCUGUUGGUCGCAACCUCCAACAUGGUGGCCAUGUCCUUGCCCAACAAGGUGAGUGCAGCUCAUGUUAGAUUAUUCGCUUGCAGACCUACAGGGAAGUAUGCUCUUGGCAAUAGAAGCUGUAGUAAAAGUAACAUUACAAAUAUGUAAAUAUUACUCCCUCUGAUCCUAAAUUCUUCACUCAAAUUUGCCCAAAUAUGGAUGUAUCUAUUCUUAAAAAGCAUCUAGAUACAUGUAAUAUUUCGACAACAAUUCAGGAUCGGAGGGAGUACUUGGCAAUUAUUGGUCAAUCAGAGGCUCAAGUCUCUUCAGAUGUUGGUCUCACUCCCGCAGCCAAUUGGCACAUAUUGUCAUUUUUGCUUCUUGGUAUUUAGCUUGCUAUAUAUGAAAGCUAAUUUGGUUGUAGCUACUAUAUGCAGGAUGGAGAACUUGCACGACAUCAAGUGUCUAUGCUGCUGUUUGUAGCUCUUUCUUUUGGUAUAGGAAUGUUUUUCUUCACUAAGAUUUUUGGGACUCAAGUGCUGACUGGUAAGUUUUUUUAAUCAAGUGUCUAUGCUUCUGUUUGUAGCUCUUCCUUUUGGUAUAGUAAUGUUUUUGUUCACUGAGAUUUUUGGGACUCAAGUGUUGACUCGCGUCACUGUUUUAAAGUGUAUGGAAAACCUGAAUUUUGUUCUUGAGUAUACAAGCUUGCCGGCAUGUGUUCAUCAGUCCACUUGUACAUGUAAUGUUUCUGUUCUCUAUUCUUGCAUAUUCUUUUUCCACAUUCGUCUUGCAGAUUCUUUGUACAUACAGUUUCUUCAUAGCAAUGUGAGAAUCCUUGUUCCUUUAUCCACAGUAAAUUUGUCCGUAUCUGGAUUUUGAUUAUCAGACUCUUAAAAGAGUUGGGUGGCAAAAAGGGAAAGAUCCCUAUUAUCUUCACUUAUUAAUAUAGAUUCUCCACCUGCAUAAAGUUCUAUUCAUUUAUAACAUGGUAUCUCAAUAUGGCCAAGCUCUGGUUACAAAAAAGGUUCCAUGGAAUGAGCAGGUAUGGGUUUUUGAAGAGAUGAAACUUCCUUGUCGGUCUAUCUUCUGAGCUAAAGAGUAAAAAAAUUCUGCUGAACUCCCCGUGGGAGAUACUUCAAAGGCCAGCAGGAACUGGAGCGAUUUUCAGCUCACUGUCAUCAAAUAAAAUUUUGGACGCACUAAAUACAAUGGGCAUAGAGUAUGCCCAGGUAUGAUCAUGUGCCGUUGACCGAAUUUUCCCUCAUCUCACGCUUCCCUCUCACUUAUUUACUUCUUAUUGCGUUGAAUUAUUUGUUUGAAAUUAUGGAAGACUCCACAUAAGGUAUGUUUUGUUGGAUGAAAUAUACAUUGCCUAUUUGAAAUUCUGGUUACAGCUAGUUACUUGACUUCAUCUUGCUCUGCAAUCUGCAAGUCGAAACUUGUUCUGCUAAACCACAAAAGUAAGCAUGCCAACAUUUCAAAUCUUUGCCGUAAAUUCUGGAAACUUGUUCUGCUGAACCUCACCCUGUGCAAAACCGAACCGAAAACCGAACCGAAAGUUCGAUUUUCUCGGUUUUCGGUUCCGGUUAGCCAAACAGCUAACCGUAUCGGAUUCAGUUUUUUAGUUAGAAACCGAUGGUUUUGGUUAAACCAAAAAAAACAGAAACAGUGAAUAUAAUUUGUACGCUGUGGUACUGGACAGACGUGAUGCAUUAUCCUAGUGGUCUGCGGUCUCUUCGUGAUGUGAAUUUGAGGUCCUGUGUUCAAAUCACACUUCCCCCAUUUUCAGUCUAUUUUUUCCGGCCGGCUGUAGGAAUAUGGGUGGAUUCUGGGCCAAAUGGCUGUGGACGGGCUGAACCUGAGACCGAUUCAAUACAGUGUGUAUGCCUCUAUAAAUGGUUCUAUGGAAGUAAAAGUUGGAACACUUCUUUUCAUUGAAACAUGUAUAAAAAUUUGUGUGUCACUCAAAAAUUCGUGUCAACUUUGGUUAUAACCGAAACCGAACCGUAUUUAUGUACAUAACUGUAUUAACCGAAGUAUACAAACCGUAUUAACCGAACCGAACCGAAGAACCGAACGCACACACCUGAGCUAAACCACAUAAUUCUCGGAUGUUGUGAUGCGCCGCCGCUGGUGGCUGCUGCCGUGUGCCAUCCCCGUACUUUGAUCCUGCGUUGUCCCUGCUGUUGUGCUGCGCCAACUCGCGCUUGCCGCCGUCAUAUAGUUUUUAUGUAAAUUGCACUUGCCAGGUAUAGUUUUUGCAAUGUCUCAUCAAUGCAAUCAUGUUGUUUCUCAAGUUACGGUAUCAUACAGUCCUCUACAUGCAGUUCUUAACAUUUUUACCUCAACUUUUCGCCAAUUAUUAGCACAUCUGCUUAUGAAACUUGUUUUUGGUAUUUCUUUGAUCAGUUUGCGAAUAAUCAGUGUUUUGUACGUAGAUUUCCCAUUAUUGUUAAUGCCUUGUUCUCUUGCAUUUGCAAAAUUGCUGCUACUCCAUCUGUGGGUUAGAUAACUAAUUUGGAUUCACCUCUAGCUAGAUCGACACGUGUCUAAUUGGCUUGGCACACAACAAAAUUUUCUUUAUACCUUGUACGACCAAUGAUAGAUCAGAAAUUGCGGUUCUUCUAAUCAUCAAUUUGGAGCACUGCUAUGCAAUUCAAGCGUUCGUAAAUUGCAAUUGUAUUUUGUUUAUGCUUGUUCUUGAUAGCAACAAUGCAAUUGAUUGGAAAUAUAUAUUGAAUUCUGCGUUUCAACCUUUGUACUAUGCUAUAAAUGCAAGCAUACUAUUGUCAAGCAGCAAUAGCACUUCCUCAUCUACAUGGUUCAGUUUUUGUAAAAAAAAACGUUAACCAAAUCUUAUAACCCCUUCUUCAGUGUCCAAUUCUGGUUUUUUGCAAUUGCAGUUCCAGGUUUUAAAAUUGCACUAUUUGCACUGUUGCAAUCCAACUUUUCGUAUAAUUAUAAUAUCAAAUACAAUGGGAUUUCAAAUUUGAAGUACCUUUUGCAUAUUCUAAAUAUAGUCAAUCCCCUGAUCUCCCAGACUUGUUAGUUUUGGAGGUGUUGACUGCAUUUUCUGGUUAAGAGGUGUUGACUGUGUGUUUAAAGCCUGAUCUUCCAGCUAACUGAUAUGGAUACACUAAGAAGAUCAAGAGGUGUUGACUGUGUGUUUAAAUCCUGCAUAAAUUUAGAUGAACUAGUUACAAUGAGUCAUUUAAAAAUCAAGUGAUCAUUGAUGUAGCAAGUUGGUGGCAGUAGUAGCAGGGUGCUAUGAACAAAUUUUUGGAAGCAAUUGGAAACUUUGAGAUAAAGAGAGAUAACUGUAGAGGUCAGUAUUUUAUGUGGUUUUGUUAGUAUAGAUAGAGGGAUAACUGUAGGGAUCAUCGAUGUAGUCAAAUGCAUUUGCAUUUGUUUAAUACACGAAUUUGAUCCUAUUAUGUUUGUUGCUUCACUUUGUUAAUUUUGACUUUUGUUUUUGUCGUGUAGAUUGAUCUACUUAUGAUGUAUGGAUAGUUUGGUGAGGGAAGGCAGUUUUCCUCCAAUCAGCAAUGAAUAGGUACUUCUUUCUCUUUUGCCUUGCUGUGAUCUGUUUGUUGAUGUUAUUUUUUAAACUGAAUUUGCAUGCACUUUAAGACUUGCAAUCGAGCAUAGUAUGAAAUACAAUUGCAGUUGUGUAACACUGGAAUUGCAUGUAGCCUAAUAUGCGCAAUCAGGUUUCUUUUGAAUUGCAAUUGCACUUGUUUGUUGCUGAGAUUGCACACUAGUAAUUCUCAAGGCUGUAUUUUUUGCCGAUUCUGAUUUUGUACAUAGGCUAAAUCAGUCUCAAUUGCAUGUAAAUUACUAUGCGCAAUCGGGGUUCUUAUGAAUUGCAAUUGCAUUUCUGUGUUUAUGGGAUUGCACGCUGUAAUUCUCAAUGCCGAUUUUGAUAUUUUUUCCAGCCACAUGCCCAAUGGCUGAAUCUGUCUCAAUUUGCAUGUAGAUUACUAUGUGCAAUCCAGUCAUGAAUUGCAAUUGCAUUUGUGUGUUUCUGGAAUUGCACGCUAGUAAUUCUCAAGGCGUAUAAUUUUGUCGAUUUUGAUUUUUUGUCCAGCCAUAUGUCCAGAGGCUAAAUCAGUCUCUUCUUGUCUGAAAUUGUCACUCAAUUGUUUCAUUACCGACACAUGCCUUCGUUUUUUGUUGGUGUUUGUUUCUUUAUCUGUAUGUUUUCCAUAAAAUGAGCAGGUGACUGUUUUAAUCUCAGAGAACAGGCGUCUGGUUUUUUCUCAGAAAACAGACAUCUGCUAUAUAGACAGACCCAAAAAGUAAUUGUCCGACGAGAUGGAUAUUGAGACCCUUAUCAAUGACAUUGCGUCUUGAAAUUUAGAAGGAAAGUUUAGGUAACAAGGCUACAAACCAUUUUAAUAUGAAUAUUGCUUUUGAUGAACUAUAAAUAUGUAUUUGCGUUCAUAAACA